GAGACAGAGAGAGAGAGAGAGAGAGAAAAUCCUCUAUUCCACGACCAUCAGCCACUAUUGUGAACACUGGUCUUCUUCACGCACAGACUGGACCAUCCUCGCCUGCUUUCUGCGAUGUCUGUUUUCAGUCAGAAGUCUAAGCCUGUCAGAAGGAGUCAGGAGAUGAGUGCCAGUCAGAACAUUGUUGACAGCAGCAGGAAGAAGACCAGUCUGCUGAAAGACAACAGCUGGAUCGGACGCAGCAUGGAGGAGGAGGAGGAGCUAGUGGACCUGCAGUCGGAGGUGGGCCAGCCCAUCCCUGCCAGCCCCAGCACCCCAGUCAACCAUGUGACCAAGAG